CGAGUCAGUAAGUGGUUUCCGUCCCAAGACUCCACAGAAACCCCUUAGCUUUCCGGCAUUUGAAAAGUCUGUAAAAUAUGUGCAGGGCUUCAUUUAUUUAUUUUUCCCCUCCUACUAACCCUUACAUGCCCUGAGGAACAUAUAUACACAAUAAUCCUGCUGGCAUUCCCAGCAUAGACACUUCUCCCACGGGUGGCAGCAGCUCAGUGGAAGUAAAGGCUAAAUGCUCACGUCUGUAGUUUGGAGGUGUGAAGGAGCGCAGUGUCUUUGACAUACUCUUACUGCUCUUCAUGUAGGCAGCUGACUACUGUAGCAGCAUUACACUUCCCUGGCCUUUAAAAAUAAAAAGAAAAGUUGGUUUCAUGUAAAAUCUUUUUAAAAAGGGCAAUAACACAAAACUGGCCUGAGUCUUAAGGAAGAAAAAAAAGUCAAACUCCUUUGGGAUCUGUGUAUUGUCCUUGGUGACGCUCAGAGCAAAAAAACACCUGCCUCUCUGAAAGCCUUCCAGUGUUUCUGGUCUCCUUUUCCAAGAGGAGGUCCGUUCUAUGGAGGAAGAGGUUAAGCGUGUGAGCAAAUGGGGCAAAAGAUUAUGUGAAACAAAAAUUCCGGUGCUGUUUGUUCUGCCAUCUGCUCUAAGUUUGUUCCAGCGCUGUGUGUGCUUUCCCAUCGCUCCCUCUCCCGUUAUCAUCCUGUGCCAUGUGCUCCCCGAGCUGGCGCAGCAGCGAUGGCCGAGGCUGGCGCGUCCUGUCCCGGAGGAGCUGUGGCAGCCGCAAGCCACUUGAGAGCAGAGCACGGCUUUGGCAGGAGGAGGGUGAGCACUGGGGACACAGCUGCCUGCUGGUGAAGAAGAGGUGCAAUCAUUUCACAUGUUGCCUCCACAACCCCUGCUUGUUCUCCCUGCCCCAAAUUUUCUAUUUUUCCCACUUGGUCCCCCAGCCAGGCUCUCUGGAGCCCUGUACUGGGUGUAUGCACGGGCUGCUGGCCUCCCACACCGCCCGCACCACCCUUCCCCUGCUGCGCUUCUGCCUGGGAAUGUGACCUUGCUCCCUAGAUUAUUUACAGUCAAAAUAUUGCUGCAAGCAUGCGGAGGGCUUUUUUUUUUUUUAUUAAUUCCACAAAAACAUGAAUUCUUUCGAGGGGAACGGGUGGGAAUGCUCUGCAGUGUUUGGGAACGUGCUGCCUCACGCCAUUUCCCUGUCUGGGAAGCAUGUAGAGGGGUGCGAGGGCCCUCCUUUCCACGUGCCCAGGAAGGCACCUUGUUUUAUUCACGGGACCUGCCAUCAGUCUGGGGAGAGCUGUGGGGCGGCACAGUGGCACUGAGGGAGCUGUGGUGUGUGUGCAGCUGGGGCCCGGCUCCUGCCCAAGAGCUGCACAAGCGCAUUUGUAGCGCGAGGCCUAGCAAAACAACUGAGGAGUGAACACAGCGGCCGUGCCUUGUGUGGGGACCAGCCAAGAGAGGGCUGGCAGGGUGGACACCAGGCGGCUUGGGGGGAGCAGAGCCGAGGGCUGCUCAGCUCCGCGGGGCCGUGCCCAGCACCCCCUCACACAGGGCCUGCGCUGGGCCGGGCAGGGCCUUCCGGCUGCUGAGGCACACGGAGCUGUCGCAUCCCUGCUGAAGUGGUGGCGGUCAGGUUUCUUUCUGCCCACAGCCCAGUCUGUUAUUCAUAGUGCCCAGCUUUUGCAUAGGAGCAAGCACAGUGAUGGUCAGCACAGCUCACCUUCAUACCGGACACUGACCUUGGUGUGGAAAGUCUGCUUACCCCACGUACCUCGGCUUGGUUUGGCACAUGCAUCACCUCACGCGGGCAUGGGCUGUGCCAACCUACAGCUGUGAGAUCAGUGGCGGUGAGCAAGGGGUCUCUGCUCCGGGUGCUGUUUGCUACUUUGCAGGGUGUUUGCCAGGUGUGUGGGUGGACAGCACACAGUCUGCCCCUGGGAUCACUUGUACUGGGCAGCUCCUCAGUGGGGGGGAGUCUUUGGCACAUUCCUUUUGCUGAAUGCAAGCGGUGCAAAGAGCUGCCUGUGAGCAGUGCAGGGUGGCCUGCAGUCUCUCAGCCAUAAGGCUGGGUCUCCGUCAGGUGUCUGUGCCCCUUUACAGCACAGCAUUCGGAAUGCUGAGUGCUGCGUCUUCUCCCCCAGGGUAUUCUGAAGGGUUAAUGAUCACUGUAGCAGAUGGAGGGAUGGUAAGCAGAUUAAUUGCCUUGUGCAAGGUACCUAAAGUCUCACCCUCCUUCAGAAACACAACGCUUAUUCAGCCAGGUAAAUAACUUGUUUUAAAUCCCCUCUCAUUGCAGCUGACCCCUAACUGUGUUUAUCCAAGUGGCUGGAGUUGUUCCAGUCUCUCUGGCGGUGAGCAGGAUGGCGAGAAGCAUCUGCUGGGUGCCAGAGCUUCCCCACAGGUCCUCCCCUCCGCUCCUCUCCCUCGCUGAUGGUGAUGGCGCCGCUGCAGAGUGCUGCUUCACAGAGAUGAACCCGCAGAGACGAUGCUGCCCGCAGCACCAGGCCAGGGCGCCUCCUGCCCUGCUUGUUGCUGCUGCCUGCCUGAACGCAAGAGAAAGCCACCAGACAGCUUUCAGCCUGCGACUUCCCAUGAACUGCUGACCCAUCAUGUGAUGCAGGCUGCGGCAGGCCGGCUGGAGCGAGAUGCAAUGUCACCGGCUUAUCACAGCGUACCGGGCUCAGGCAAAGCCCCACUGCACAGCAGGGCACAGUUGCUGAGUUUCCCGUUCCAAGCACUGAGUGAUAUGGGCAAAGGAAGGUGAGAGGAGCUGCUGGGAGGGGGCAGCUGCUCCCCUUCCCAUAUCUCCUGCAGGUUUUGGAGCUCUGAGGAAAACUGGGGCAUCUUCCCUUGGCUGCUCACAUCUUCCCCUAAAACUGUCGUCCUCUCUCUGGCUCCGUGCUGUGCCUUUGCAAUGCUCAGCUUCAGCACGAGCGUAAAGGCACAGCUCUGUGGCUCUCCUGAGAGCACAGUGGCAGGAGUGUCCCUGCAGGCUGGGGGAGACUUGGUGUCAAGGGAGGACUUUAAGAGGGAACGAAGGAAGCUCAUUUGUUAUCGGCCCCCCUUUCUCUAUGAGAGACACCUGCCCACUCCCCAUGGCGGUGUGGCUCCUCUCUGUGGUGCCAGCCGUGCUCCUGCAUGCUUUCAGUCACGCUGCAGCGUACAUCGUGAGCCUUCUUGCAGGAUGUUGGCUGGCAGCGGUGGCACCUGGGCUCUGGUUUGCUUGGUCCCUUUGCUCGAAGCCGUCUGGAAGCUUUUUGCUCAAUCCACUGAGCACAUGACUUACAGGGUGACUCCAAAACCUGCCCUUGCCAUUCAUGAGCUCGAGCCUGUUUACAAAACAGUGGCUGAGGGCUGCUAUUUAUUGUUACAUACAUAUUGCAUUCAGAGUUGCUAAACAAGCAAAGCCAAAAUGAAAGUCAUCUGAGCGGUUUGCUUUAAUUAGAAUAAGAUCCUGAUGAAUCAUGAGGUUUCUUUACCUCAAAGAUGCACAAGGAAUUGACUUUGGCAGCAAACAUCAAGGUACAGCAGUCAGUGCAGCCUGCUAGCUACAUUUGACAUCUGCUGGAAAGACUUGUUUUUCCAUCAUGUAGUCACAUGCUAACUUGUGAUCUGAUCAUGAGAUACAAAGGAUAAUCUUCCAAUAUUUAUUUUUCUCAUCUGUAAUUUUAAAAGGCAGAGGAAAAAAAUAAAAAGCA